GCCGGGACCAUCCGGUAAGGCUAAAUACUCCCGAGAGACCGAUAGCGAACCAGUACUGUGAAGGAAAGGUGAAAAGCACUUCGAAUAGAAGAGUGAAAUAGUCCCUGAAACCGUGCGCCUACAAGCGGUCGGAGCUUCGUAAGAAGUGACGGCGUGCCUUUUGCAUAAUGAACCUACGAGUUACUUUUUCCGGCAAGGUUAAGCAUCUUGAGAUGUGGAUCCGAAGCGAAAGCGAGUCUGAACAGGGCGGAUAGUCGGAAGGAGUAGACGCGAAACCAAGUGAUCUACCCUUGGGCAGGUUGAAGGUUAGGUAACACUAACUGGAGGACCGAACCGAUAAGCGUUGAAAAGCUUCCGGAUGAACUGAGGGUGGGGGUGAAAGGCUAAUCAAACUUGGAGAUAGCUCGUACUCCCCGAAAUGCAUUUAGGUGCAGCCUUGAGAGUUACUAAUGUGAGGUAGAGCGACUGAUAAGAUGCGAGGGCUUCACCGCCUAUCAAGUCUUGAUAAACUCCGAAUGCGCAUUAGUUCUAUCUCAGGAGUGAGGGCAUGGGUGCUAAGGUCCAUGUCCUAAAGGAGAAGAAUCCAGACCAUCAGCUAAGGUCCCCAAAUAAACACUAAGUUGAACUAACGAAGUCAGAUUGCUAAGACAGCUAGGAUGUUGGCUUGGAAGCAGCCAUUCAUUUAAAGAGUGCGUAACAGCUCACUAGUCGAGGAGUUUGGCGUGGAUAAUAAUCGGGCAUUAAGCAAUUUACCGAAGCUAUGGGAUCCGUAAGGAUCGGUAGGGGAGCAUUCCACUCUGCGUCGAAGGUGAAGCGUGAGCUUUGCUGGAGCGUGUGGAAAAGCAAAUGUAGGUAUAAGUAACGAUAAAGGGGGUGAGAAACCCCCUCGCCGAAAGACUAAGGUUUCCUGAUCAACGCUAAUCGGAUCAGGGUUAGUCGGGUCCUAAGGCUCAGCCGAACGGUGAGGCCGAUGGCAGAACAGGUUAAUAUUCCUGUACUACCUUAAGGAGUGACGUGGAGACGGAGGAGUGACAGCGCCGCGGACUGACGGAAUAGUCCGUUGAAGGGUGUAGAUGUUGAUUAUCCCAGGCAAAUCCGGGAUAAGAGUCGAACCUGAUAGUAUACCAAAUUCUUCGGAAUAAGGUAAUAGUGCGUGUAAGCAUACUCCCAAGAAAAUCCGCUAAACUUAAUCUUUAAGGUACCCGUACCGCAAACGGACACACGUAGUCGGGUUGAAUAUACUAAGGCGCUUGAGUGAUUCACGGUUAAGGAACUAGGCAAAUUGACCCUGUAACUUCGGGAUAAAGGGUCCCAACGAGAGUUGGGCGCAGAGAAUAGGUCCAGGCAACUGUUUAACAAAAACACAGGGCUGUGCAAAAUUGAAAGAUCACGUAUACAGCCUGACACCUGCCCGGUGCUGGAAGGUUAAGAGGAGAUGUCAUCGCAAGAGAAGCAUUGAAUUGAAGCCCCAGUAAACGGCGGCCGUAACUAUAACGGUCCUAAGGUAGCGAAAUUCCUUGUCGGGUAAGUUCCGACCUGCACGAAUGGUGUAAUGAUCUGGACACUGUCUCAACCGUGAGCUCAGUGAAAUUGUAGUAUCGGUGAAGAUGCCGAUUACCCGCGAUGGGACGAAAAGACCCCGUGAACCUUUACUAUAGCUUAACAUUGAAUUUGGGUAAUUGAUGUGUAGGAUAGGCCGGAGACUUUGAAGCAGGUACGCCAGUAUUUGUGGAGUCGCUGUUGAAAUACGGCCCUUUGAUUAUUUGAGUUCUAACUCGUAGAUGCGAGGACACUGUUUGGUGGGUAGUUUGACUGGGGUGGUCGCCUCCAAAAGUGUAACGGAGGCUUCUAAAGGUGCCCUCACGACGAUUGGUAACCGUCGGUAGAGUGUAAUGGCAUAAGGGCGCUUGACUGGGAGACUUACAAGUCGAUCAGGUAGGAAACUAGAGCAUAGUGAUCCGGUGUUUCCGUAUGGAAGGGACAUCGCUCAAAGGAUAAAAGGUACUCCGGGGAUAACAGGCUGAUCCCUCCCAAGAGCUCAUAUCGACGGAGGGGUUUGGCACCUCGAUGUCGGCUCGUCACAUCCUGGGGCUGGAGAAGGUCCCAAGGGUUGGGCUGUUCGCCCAUUAAAGUGGCACGCGAGCUGGGUUCAGAACGUCGUGAGACAGUUCGGUCUCUAUCUAUCGUGGGCGUAUGAAAUUUGCGUGGCUCUGACACUAGUACGAGAGGACCGUGUUGGACUGACCGCUGGUUUACCAGUUGUGCCGCCAGGUGCAUCGCUGGGUAUCUAAGUCGGGAUUGGAUAAGUGCUGAAAGCAUCUAAGUACGAAGCCAGCCACAAGAUUAGAUUUCUUAGGGUCGUUAAAGACGAUGACGUUGAUAGGAUGCAGGUGUAAAGGUGGUAACAUCAAAGCCGAGCAUUACUAAUUGCCCGUUCACUUUCUUUC
rnacentral:rRNA from 1 species